rnacentral:rRNA from 1 species
GGAGCGAACGGGAUUAGAUACCCCGGUAGUCCACGCCGUAAACGAUGGAUACUAGUGGUAUGGAGAUUCGACCCUCUGUGUCACGAAGCUAACGCGAUAAGUAUCCCGCCUGGGGAGUACGAACGCAAGUUUAAAACUCAAAGGAAUUGACGGGGACCCGCACAAGCAGUGGAGGAUGGGGUUUAAUAUGACGCUAAGCGUAGAACCUUACCGAGGCUUGACAUCCUGGGAAUCCGAUCGAAAGAUUGGAGUGCCUUCGGGAAUCCAGUGACAGGUGCUGCAUGGCCGUCGUCAGCUCGUGUCGUGAGAUGUUGGGUUAAGUCCCGCAACGAGCGCAACCCUUGUCGUCUGUUGUCUUUUCAGGCGAGACCGCCCGGGCCAACCGGGAGGAAGGUGGGGAUGACGUCUGGUCAGCAUGGCCCUUACACCUCGGGCCACACACGUCCUACAAUGGGUAGUACAAAGGGCAGCCAAGCCGUAAGGCGGAGCAAAUCCCAUCAAAACUACCCCCAGUUCGGAUAGAGGGCUGAAACUCGCCCUCUUGAAGUCGGAAUCGCUAGUAAUGGCGCGUCAGCAUAGCGCCGUGAAUACGUUCCCGGGUCUUGUACACACCGCCCGUCAAAUCACGAAAGUUGGGAGUGCCCGACGUGCCGUCUUUAGCACGGCCCUAAGGUAAGCCCAGCGAUUGGGGUUAAGUCGUAACAAGGUAUCCGUACCGGAAGGUGCGGAUG